GUGUUUCAAUGUACUGUGUUUUCCUGAAAUUCUUCUGUCUUGGUGCGCUCUUCAUUUUGAUACGUCAAGACUGAUACUUAGUUGUUAGUUUACUAGAUUCUGUAUCCUCUCCACGAAUUAAGAGUUUUUCUGCGGCACUCAGUGUCAGUACAGAAACAUCACUGAUUAUUUCCGUGUUUCCUGCUGACCUUUAAAUAUCACUUCUAAAUAGACUUCAGGAAUUUUGAAGAUACCAAUGCUGUCUCUUAAAGUGACAGAUAGUACUGAUUUUUUUUCCACCGUUCCACCUUCUCUACCCUCGUAUUCAUACUCUAGUGCUUUAAAAAAAAAAAAACUAAUUUAGUAACUAACUCCUUCUGGGAGAAUUACCAGUUGGUUCUUGAAUUGAAUCAUUAUAGUUCUGUCUUAUUUGGGGUUUAAUUAUGUAAGCUGUUUUCAAGUCUUUUCUGGAGAUAAUGGUGUGUUAAUAUAAAAUAAAUCACUAAUGUGUAAAUUCUAGGUACUAGUACAUUACUGUUAACAAGAUCAAUUUGAUUCCUUCAUUGUCAUAUUAGGAUAUAUGAAUUUCAGGGGCGCCUGGGUGGCUCAGUCAGUUAAGUGUCCGACUUCGGCUCAGGUCAUGAUCUUGCGGUCCGUGAGUUUGAGCCCCACAUUGGGCUCUGUGCUGAUAGCUCAGAGCCUGGAGCCUGCUUCAGAUUCUGUGCCUCCUUCUCUCCCUGCACUUCCCCCACUUGCCCUCUCUCUCUCUCUCUCUCUCUCUCUCUCUCUCCCAAAAAUAAAUAAACAUUAAAGAAAAAUUUAAAAGAAAGAAAAGGAUGUACAAAUUUCAGCAACAAGUGGUUCCAGCACCAGGGCGCUGGGUCUCCAGUGUCUCACUCUUACCUUACUUGCUGUUACGCAUACCUUUGUUCUGUGUUUCUUAACAGUCACACGGAACUGUAAUUCUAGAGAUCCAAAGGCAUGGAUUUUAUUAGCUGGGAAAGCAUUUAAUGUACUAGUCUGGGAGUAUAGAGACUUCGCCCCAAGUUCCCAGACAGUUUUAGACUCAGUGGAGAGCUUCAGUUUCAAACACUGACAGGAGAAACCACACUAAUUGGCGCUGUGGGGAAAAGGUGUAGAGAGAGAGCCCGGGGAGGCUUCUUUUCGAGAGUCUUCUGGGAUUCUUUCAUAUUGAGUUCCCUUCAGUGGAGCUGCUUAAGGACAGUCUCAUGACCCUUGAAAUGGAGAUGUUGAAGUGAACAGGGGAUUCAACUAAGGCCCUGCUCGACACAGUGGUGGUCCUGCAGCUAGAAAAUUUGUAAUAUCAUUUGGGGCUUAAAAGUGGCAUUGGGAUAAGUUAUUUUGCAGCGAGGUUUAUUUAUAUACUAAGCUUUUCCUAUUACCAGUGUGAAAUAAGGAAAGGAAAUUAAAAGAGACCAGGUCCUAUUGGAAGAGAAUUUGAUCAAGACUGGAAGGAGCAGUCACUAGAGAAAGGUCAUGUAUGUGAUUGGGUGGCCAAGUAAAA